AGUUGAAGAAGGUGACUUUAUUUAAGAGAUUACUGCCUCCUCUCUUAUUAAUCAACAAAUUAAUUAAGGUUGUUACGGCUUUUUGUGUGGUUUUAAUUUCUAGCAAAAAUAAUAUGAAAUAUAUUAUUAUAAAUUAAUUAUAUAAUGUUGGCUUGGCUCGUUGAGGCUAGCUUUAUAUAUGCCUUGUCUUAAUUAAUUUGUUUUGUAUUUGCAUGGUUGCUUAAUAGAAAGUUGGUGCCCUUGUUACCCUUGGAUUUCCUUAGAAGCAUGAACUUUCUGUAUUUCUUUUCUCUUUAUUUGUCUUAUUAAUAUAUUUUAUUUAGGCUAAUAAUCAGUUGCCUAUUUCUU
rnacentral:misc_RNA from 1 species